ACUCCUACGGGAGGCAGCAGUAGGGAAUUUUUCGCAAUGGACGCAAGUCUGACGAAGCAAUGCCGCGUGAGGGAUGAAGGUUUUCGGAUUGUAAACCUCUGUUAUAAGGGAAGAAAACCUGAUAUAGGAAAUGAUAUCAGCUUGACGGUACCUUAUCAGAAAGGGACGGCUAACUACGUGCCAGCAGCCGCGGUAAUACGUAGGUCCCGAGCGUUAUCCGGAAUUAUUGGGCGUAAAGAGCAUGUAGGCGGUUUAUUAAGUCUGGUGUGAAAGCUAGUGGCUCAACCACUAAAUUGCAUUGGAUACUGGUAAACUAGAAUACUGGAGGGGCAAGUGGAAUUCCAUGUGUAGCGGUGGAAUGCGUAGAUAUAUGGAGGAACACCAAUGGCGAAGGCAGCUUGCUGGACAGUAAUUGACGCUGAGAUGCGAAAGCGUGGGUAGCAAACAGGAUUAGAUACCCUGGUAGUGUACUG
rnacentral:rRNA from 1 species